rnacentral:rRNA from 1 species
UCAGUACGGCGAGUGAAGCGGCAAGAGCUCAAAUUUGAAAGCUGGCUCCUUCGGAGUCCGCAUUGUAAUUUGCAGAGGAUGCUUUGGGUGCGGCCCCCGUCUAAGUGCCCUGGAACGGGCCGUCAGAGAGGGUGAGAAUCCCGUCUUGGGCGGGGUGUCCGUGCCCGUGUAAAGCUCCUUCGACGAGUCGAGUUGUUUGGGAAUGCAGCUCUAAAUGGGUGGUAAAUUUCAUCUAAAGCUAAAUACUGGCCGGAGACCGAUAGCGCACAAGUAGAGUGAUCGAAAGAUGAAAAGCACUUUGAAAAGAGAGUUAAACAGCACGUGAAAUUGUUGAAAGGGAAGCGCUUGCGACCAGACUCGCCCGCGGGGUUCAGCCGGCAUUCGUGCCGGUGUACUUCCCCGUGGGCGGGCCAGCGUCGGUUUGGGCGGCCGGUCAAAGGCCCCUGGAAUGUAGUACCCUCCGGGGUACCUUAUAGCCAGGGGUGCAAUGCGGCCAGC